ACUAUUUUGGCAGAAAAAUGUAAUGAUUUUAGAAAUCAUAAAUAUAUAGAAUUUACUAUAUAUAUAGUA
rnacentral:tRNA from 1 species